rnacentral:misc_RNA from 1 species
GUGAAUCAUCGAAUUUUUGAACGCAACUUGCACUCCCUGGUAUUCCGGAGAGUAUGCCUGUUUGAGGGUCAAUUUAAAUACAAAUCGGUGUGGUUGCUGACUUUCGUGGUGACGCCCCGGAUGUGGGUCGUCUUGCCUUCGGCUCAGUCACUCAUAUUUUUGCAUGAUUUUUUCGAACGUAUUUAAAUGAUUUUACGUCAGUUUGCUAUAUCGAAUACUACGUGCGGUACUCC